UUGAGCCACGCAGGAAUACACGGGAGA
rnacentral:piRNA from 1 species